UACGGGGGGGGCAAGCGUUGUUCGGAAUUACUGGGCGUAAAGAGCUCGUAGGCGGUUUGUCGCGUCGAAUGUGAAAACCCGGGGCUCAACCCCGGGCCUGCAUUCGAUACGGGCAGACUAGAGUUCGGUAGGGGAGUCUGGAAUUCCUGGUGUAGCGGUGAAAUGCGCAGAUAUCAGGAGGAACACCGGUGGCGAAGGCGGGACUCUGGGCCGAUACUGACGCUGAGGAGCGAAAGCGUGGGGAGCGAACAGG
rnacentral:rRNA from 1 species